CUUGGACUCCUUAGUUUGAUUCUGAAACUAGAUGCGGGGGAUCGGUAGGACUGGUAUAUUACUAGACAUGCGGGGAAUCGGUGCAUUCAUCGUAUACUACCUAGCAUCGGGGAAUCGGUUGACUCCCUAGCUACUAGACCUUAGCUACCCGGUUUGAUCCUGAGUGGCAGUGAUUGGAGUCUUACUAUGCCUGGGUGAAGUCUUAAAGGGAUUAGUCCCAUUCUUAGUAGCUGUCGUCUC
rnacentral:lncRNA from 1 species